rnacentral:rRNA from 1 species
AUUGAACGCUGGCGGCAUGCCUUUCAUAUGCAAGUCGAACGGUAACAGGUCUUCGGAUGCUGACGAGUGGCGAACGGGUGAGUAAUACAUCGGAACGUGCCUAGUAGUGGGGGAUAACUACUCGAAAGAGUGGCUAAUACCGCAUGAGAUCUACGGAUGAAAGCAGGGGAUCGCAAGACCUUGUGCUACUAGAGCGGCCGAUGGCAGAUUAGGUAGUUGGUGGGAUAAAAGCUUACCAAGCCGACGAUCUGUAGCUGGUCUGAGAGGACGAUCAGCCACACUGGGACUGAGACACGGCCCAGACUCCUACGGGAGGCAGCAGUGGGGAAUUUUGGACAAUGGGCGCAAGCCUGAUCCAGCAAUGCCGCGUGCAGGAUGAAGGCCUUCGGGUUGUAAACUGCUUUUGUACGGAACGAAAAGCCCUGGGUUAAUACCCUGGGGUCAUGACGGUACCGUAAGAAUAAGCACCGGCUAACUACGUGCCAGCCGCCGCGGUAAAAC